AUCCAUCCUGUCACGUUCCUUCUCCACCGCAGUCUUGACUUUCUCCGCCAACUCCUCCACGAAGAUCAACGACCCAAUGAAGAUAUUAGCGUCUUCGAGGUCACGACAAAACCCCUCGUAGGUCUCCUUAUCCCGAAGUUCCUCCACGAGAUAACCCACGACUUCGAAAUCGGCGUGCUGCUUGGCGGCAUUGAGUGUCCUGACGGCGGCGGAGAGGGAGG
rnacentral:lncRNA from 1 species